rnacentral:RNase_P_RNA from 1 species
AGUCUGAGAUGACUAUAGUGUUUGUGUGAGUACAUAAAAAAUAAAACUCAACGGCUAGGAAACUAGUUGAUGGCAGAAAAUACUUCUAAGUAAGGACUAACCUCCUUAUAUGAUGCUAUUUUCUUUAAGGUGCCACAGAGACGAGCUCUUUAGAAAUAGAGAGAGUGAAACGCGGUAAACCCCUCAAGCA